CAGAUUAUUCUUUCCUUUUUUGAGGGGAAAGCUGGAUAUAAACUGGCAGUUAAAAAAUUGUAAAGAAAUCAACUUGCUCAUUUUCAUUGUGUAUUUUUGCUCUCAAGCAUUUUCCAUGAACUGUGUGUGGAUUCAUUGUCUGCAUUGGAUAACGAACUCUUGAGUGUUGCUGCUAAGUGUGUCCCCAAGAAAGUGUCAGAGCCUUUAUGUGGACCUUCCCAUGGAAAAGGAAACAGAAUAGUCAAUGGAAAAGGAGAAGGUGAGAAUGGUAUUUUAUUUAAAAAGUUAUUUGUUGGAGGCUGGGUGCGGUGGCUCACGCCUGUAAUCCCAGCACUUUGGGAGGCUGAGGUGGGCAGAUCAUGAGGUCAGGAGAUCGAGACAAUCCUGGCUAACAUGGUGAAACCCCAUC
rnacentral:lncRNA from 1 species